UUGAUAGAUAUGGGCUUUUUUUGCAAAUAGCCCCCUGAUAAAUUUUAUUUGCAAAACUAGCCCCAUGUAAAAUUUAUUUGCAAAAAUGGCCCUGGCCCCGCCACGCCAGCGCCACGUCAGCGCCACGCGGGCAGGGCCUGGGCCAGGUACGCAAGUUGAACACGGUGAUUGGUUCACCGUGUCUAAACACGGUGAACGAAUCACCGUGUCCAUUGUGGUCUCCCACAUCGUUAGUAUUGCAUUAGACACGGUGAUUCAUUCACCGUGUCUAAACACGGUGAAUUGUUUACCGUGUUUAGACACGGUGAACAAAUCACCGUGUCCUUCACUUUCAUUUUUGGCCAAACACGGCCUGGCUACUUGUAUUCGGACACGGACUUAACCAUUUUCGGAGUUGGCGAGUACAUUUGUAUUGGACACGGUGAAUCGAUCACCGUGUCCAGAGAUUUGUAUUGGACACGGUGAAUGAAUCAAAAAUGGUAAACAGUUCACCGUGUUUAGACACGGUGAAUGAAUCACCGUGUCUAAUGCAAUACUAACGAUGUGGGAGACCACAAUGGACACGGUGAUUCGUUCACCGUGUUUAGACACGGUGAACCAAUCACCGUGUUCAACUUGCGUACCUGGCCCAGGCCCUGCCCGCGUGGCGCUGACGUGGCGCUGGCGUGGCAGGGCCAGGGCCAUUUUUGCAAAUAAAUUUUACAUGGGGCUAGUUUUGCAAAUAAAAUUUGUCAGGGGGCUAU
rnacentral:lncRNA from 1 species